rnacentral:rRNA from 1 species
AUUGAACGCUGGCGGCAGGCCUAACACAUGCAAGUCGAACGAGUGGCGGACGGGUGAGUUAUGUCUGGGAAACUGCCUGAUGGAGGGGGAUAACUACUGGAAUCGGUAGUUAAUACCGCAUACCAUCAGAUGUGCCCAGAUGGGAUUAGCUUGUUGGUGGGGUAACGGCUCGCCAAGGCGACGAUCCCUAGCUGGUCUGAGAGGAUAACCAGCCACACGGGAACUGAGGCACGGUCCAGACUACUACGGGAGGAAGCAGUUAGGGGUAGUAGACGAUGGGCACAAGGCUGAUUCAGCCAUGCCGCGUGUAUGAAGAGGGUCGUCGGAUUGUAAACCUCUUUCGCUGUCAAACCGGUACGUGAAGAAGAAGCGCCGGCUAACUCCGUGCCAGCAGCCGCGGUAAUAC